rnacentral:rRNA from 1 species
AACGUAGGACGCAAGCGUUAUCCGGAGUUACUGGGCGUAAAGCGCGGGCAGGCGGCUCGAUGCGUCUGAUGUGAAAUCUCCUCGCUCAACGGGGAGAGGCCAUUGGAAACGGUCGGGCUGGAGGGCAGUAGAGGCAGGCGGAAUUCCGGGUGGAGUGGUGAAAUGCGUAGAGAUCGGAGGAACACCAGAGGCGAAGGCGGCCUG